rnacentral:rRNA from 1 species
UACGUAGGGUGCGAGCGUUAAUCGGAAUUACUGGGCGUAAAGCGUGCGCAGGCGGUUCGUUAUGUCCGAUGUGAAAGCCCCGAGCUCAACUUGGGAAUGGCAUUGGAAACUGGCGGGCUGGAGUGUGGCAGAGGAGGGUGGAAUUCCACGUGUAGCAGUGAAAUGCGUAGAGAUGUGGAGGAACACCGAUGGCGAAGGCAGCCCCCUGGGCCAACACUGACGCUCAGGCACGAAAGCGUGGGGAGCAAACAGG